AAGGAUGCUAAGACUAAGAUUUUUCCCUCUAAGACGAGGGGAGGUAAGGAACUGCCAUCUAGCUCUGCUUUAGAUUCACCUUCUGUUAUAAGUAAACUUGCAAUACCACCACAUGCUAUUAAUCCUGAUAUGUCGCAAGUUAUUGAUGAUGCUACUUCUCCUAUGAAUGAUGCUUAUGAUGAUGCUAGUACCUUGCAUGAUGAUGAUGUGCCACUAGGUGAAUUUCUUGAUGAACAAAUUGCUAGAGUAAGACAACAUGAUAUUGUUGAAACUGAUGAUGAGCUUGAAACUGAAAAUCUUGAAACACCUACUAGAACUAGC
rnacentral:rRNA from 1 species